rnacentral:rRNA from 1 species
GAUGAGCUCAUGUCCUAUUAGCUAGUUGGUGGGGUAAUGGCCUACCCAGGCGAAGAUGGGUAGCUGGUCUGAGAGGACGAUCAGCCACACUGGAACUGAGACACGGUCCAGACUCCUACCGGAGGCAGCAGUGGGGAAUAUUGCGCAAUGGGCGAAAGCCCUGACGCAGCAACGCCGCCGUGAGUGAUGAAGGCCUUCGGGUUGUAAAGCUCUUUCGGCCGGGAAGAAGGGUGUUAGUUUUAAUAGAGCUAAUAUUUGAUGGUACCGGAAGAAGAAGCACCGGCUAACUUCGUGCCAGCAGCCGCGGUAAUACGAAGGGUGCGAGCGUUGUUCGGAAUUACUGGGCGUAAAGGGUUUCGUAGCGGGAGUGUAAGUCGUAUGUGAAAUCCCCGAGCUUAACUUGGGACGUGCAUACGAG